UUGAAGGUUUGCAGCUGUGGAAGCAGUAUUUCUCUGGAUAGAGAUUACCUUCUUCUUGAGUUGUCAUGGGUCAUUGGAAAGGAAAAUACACACACAAAUGCCUAUGUCUCUUUGUUCCCCAGGAUUCCAGUAUUUGAGAUUUAAAUAAAAUAGCAAGUUUCCUCAUCCAUCAGUUCAGUAACUGGAAUUUUAUUUUUUUAUUUAUUUAAUACUGUUAAGGCAAUGGGCCAGUCAAGUUUCUUUAUAACUGGCUCCACAGAUGAGUUGUUGGAGGCCUUAUUUGACAAAUUCUCCUUUAUCUAUUUAUUUAAAAUUUUGAUCUUCCAUUAAGUUUUCUACUCACCUUUUGAAUGAAGAUGUGUAUAUGCACAUGUAUGUGUACGUUUCUGUAUAUGCGCAUAGAUACACGUAUAUAUAGAGAGAGAGAUGUACACCACAACGAAACGUGUUUCUCAUUUUGAUUUCUGUGCUCAAGAAGAGAUCUGUCAUUGUAUAGUAGCUGCUUAUAGCUGACCAGAUAGAAAACUUAUUAACGUCACUAUUUUUGCAUGCAAAGAUAUGUUGAAAGAAAGCUGGAAGGCUUGUGUGUCACCAAAGAAAACUGGUUUAAUUUAAAGAUGGAGAAUUAUGUCAGUUAUAUGACUAAUGGUCUGUAUAAGGAAAUGUCUAGCAAUUCUCCUUGUAGAUUUACCUUCCAGGAAGAAGCAGCAGAUAGUAAUGGAGCACUUUGACUAUCAUAUUAGUCCACCUUUUAAGAAAUCAUAUUCUGAUACUGUUGUGCUUUUGGAAGACUCCUUAAUAUUCUAAUGCUUUCUUUUUUUUUCCUAUCCCAAUAAAUAGAUCUUUCCAGAGAAGUGUAAAUUUCUCUUUAAUCAAGCUCUAAAAUUUAAUAUGUAUUUAUAUCUUUUAUAGAGUGGUCAAAAUAUCCAAGAAAAAAUGAUUGUUAUUUGUUACAUUUUGCUGUGUAUCAUGUGCUUAAUUUGGAUUUUGUUUUGCACAGUAAAUAACCAUGGAGCCUGGUAAGAAUUCUGAAGCUUUAAGUCUUUGAAUAGUUUAUAAUACUGCUGCCUUCUGCUAUUUGUGGCUAAAUGAUGAAUUGUUUCCCCAGCCUCCAAGGCUUCCUUUCUUUUCUAUCUGUGCAUGAGAACACGUUCUUCUGGAGAAUGUAAGCUUGAGCCUUUCUAGAAAUAUCUUGCUAUGGUUAUUUGAAAACUGAAAAGUACAGUUGUAAAGGACUUUCCCUAAUCAAACACAAACUAGAGAUAUGAAAUGAAAUGGAACAUCAAGAAGAUGAAAUAUGGGCACAGAAAAGAGGACAUCAGCAGAGUUUCACUUCUACUUCAUCCUUGUUUAAAAUGAGAAAUAUCCACUCAUUUUUUUUUUAAACUGUUAAAAGCAUAAAUGUACUGUGUUAUAUCGAUACACUGGAGAGUCUGAUCUCUCACACAGCUGUGCUUGCUCUCUCUUUCAGUUUGCAUGUUUGAUUAUCUGGCAAAAUGUAAGUAAAUGGUCAUGAAGAGAAAUCUGGCAAGCUGA